rnacentral:lncRNA from 1 species
CCCCUCUGCUCUCCAGCCCCCUCCCAAGUGAAAGAGCUCAAGGAAAUUGAGAAAUUGGACCAGGCCCCAGUUCCCUCUGCGUCUCUCACAGGUCACCAAUCGUCAGCAAGUGGAGGAAAUCCCACUGCAGGGCUGAAGUGUCGUUUCCUGAUUCCCAGACAUGGAGCAAAGCCAAGGAUGAGCUGCCUCCUUGACACACCCCCAAAUAUCUGAGAAAUGUCAAGAGUGACAGAUCACCCUUCUAGGAAACAUUUGCUGGGCCCUCUUCUGCACCCUCAAAUACCAGUCUCUGAAGACGGUCUUGGGAUGUGGCAGACAGGUUUCUGCGACUUAUUAAUCUCCAGGUCACCCGCUCACUCCUGGGGUGUGUGGACUUAACCAAACGGCAUAGAAUAGAGACCAAACUGAUUUCUGGGUUGGAAGGCAUGUACAUGAUGACUUUUCUUGGUCCAGUCAGCUAGAGUCUCAAAGAACCAGUUCAACCCAGGUCUGCCCCCCACUUCAAAUAAAGCAAGGCUACAGCCUAUGUCUCUCCAUUUGUGUUAAGGCUCCUCUGAACCAGAAUUACAUCUGAACCUCAUGCUCCCAAGAUGGAGAGUCCAUCAUGCUUGGGGAGGGCCCAGAGUAGCUAGAGGACAAAAGGAUGAGUCAGUCAACACCUCAGGAAGCUCAGCCAGCCCCCAAAGCCACACUCAGAAAGGGCCAGACCUCUAGUCAGGCAUGAGUGGUUGCCUGAGUUCAAUCAUAUGAGUGCUGUUGGGGUUUCCAU